AGAAAGUGCAGAGGGGGAGGGGGGUGGAGAGGAGAAGGUGCCCAGGCAGGGAGCACUUAGCUCAAACUACCCAGCUCUGGCAUGCAAGCUGGAACCAUCACACUGACAUCAUGAAACCUGUGGCAGAGGCUUUAUGUAUCAAGCUGGGUACUAGCAUGGGCUGCCUGCCAAACCUAGCUCCCCAGUGCAUACUUGGUUCAUGGGGGGUCAGCUGGGGGCUCUGGUGCCUAAUGUCCAGCCCAAGGCUGCCUGAGCUGCACAACUUCCCUGGUCACUCUCCCCUGAUGGUACUGGCACCAGCAGUCAGCAGUGGCUUUCAUCCUGGAAACCCCAGGUGGAUCCUGGAUGCUCAGCCUGCAGACAAACAUCCUCAGGGCUGUUCCCUAGCAACCCACUCUGCUCCAGAGCUGCGAGUCCACAGCAAAAGCCCUCCCAUCCAUUUGCAACGAGGCGUUUGGUUUUAGGUGCUCCGGGAUGCUUCCUAAUGUCCCUUCAAUGAUCCACGAAGCCAUUUGCUUAUAAAAUCUGCCAUGUGCCUUCCUUCUCCUGCCCCCACCCCUGCCCUUCCGCCAGAACGAAGUGCAGUGAACUCUCUGCGACAGACGCAGCCAGUGGAACCCUGGGUGGCUUGUCGAACAAAGCCCUCAUUCCACUGUGGCGGCGGCAGCGUGGGGCAACUUCCCUUGUGGGGAUGCUGCUGCCCACCGUGGGCUGUGCUGGAAGAGGGUGGAGGGAUGGCCAGGAUCCAGAAGACAAGAAGGAAAACAAGCCCUGCGCCAGGCAGAGUAACUGCAGAUCCAAUGGAAAAGGCGCCCAGCCUACUGAGAUGCCAAUUAGUUUCCCUGUCCACGGUGGGCCAGCAUCCCCGCAGGAAGAAAUCCAGGGAGCAGACAGUGAGGUCCUCGGAAAGCCCAGCUGUGAUGAAUAGGACUUCUGGUUCCCCUGGGAUCUGGCUGGUUAUUUUGUAGGAAAUUGAAUUUCUUGACCAACCCACUGGGCAUCUUCAGAAACUUCUGCACCUCCAUUGCUUCCGCUGCAGUGAGAGCAGGACUCCAGGUCGGGAGGGCAGACGUCCAGAGCCUCCAGGCCAUGGCUUGCUGGUCUGGUGAGCUGUGUUCCCUCUACCCACCCUGCUUCACCUGAGCUGACUGUCCUCAGAUGCUCCAGCUGAGCUCCUUGGCAGGUGGGGCCUUUGAGUGAGCUCUUCUGCUGCCAGGGAAGUUCUCAACCUGGACAUAAACAUGGCUCCCUUCCAGAAACAGACCCUAGUCUCUAGUCUUCCCUAUCACACUUCUCUGUGGCCUUUGUCCACGCCUGUCCCACUGUAUAUGUCCCCGGAACAUGAGCUUUGGGAAGACACAUGCAGGGGUUACUUUGGUCAUUGUCAUCGAAUCUCUUGCACCCAAUCCAAGCGCACGUGCGAGGAGCUGCUCCACAGCUGCCUGCCUGGUAAACGAAGGAGGGGGACAGAUUCGGCCUCCAGGCCCACCUGGCCUCCUCAGUCCAUCCCAGGAUGGCCUCUUUUGGCUUAUCUCAGGCCAGUGCAAACUGCCAGACUUUUCUAUUUUUAAAAGUAUUAUAACUGCUCAUCUUUAUGGAGUACAAUGCAGUCUCAAUUCAGGCACACAUUGUGUUAUGAUCAAAUCAAGGUAAUUAGCAUAUCUAUCGCUACAUACAUUUAUCGUUCCUUUGUGGUUAGAGCAAUCAAAACCUCUCUUUUAGCUGUUUUGAAAUACACAAUACAUCACUGUGAACUGUGGUCGCCCUAAUAUGCAAUAAAAUGCCAGAACUUAUUUCUCUAA